rnacentral:rRNA from 1 species
UACGUAGGGAGCAAGCGUUAUCCGGAUUUACUGGGUGUAAAGGGCGUGUAGGCGGGCCUGCAAGUCAGAAGUGAAAUCUGGGGGCUUAACCCCCAAACUGCUUUUGAAACUGUGGAUCUUGAGUGAUGGAGAGGCAGGCGGAAUUCCCAGUGUAGCGGUGAAAUGCGUAGAUAUUGGGAGGAACACCAGUGGCGAAGGCGGCCUGCUGGACAUUAACUGACGCUGAGGCGCGAAAGCGUGGGGAGCAAACAGG